GAUUCUGAGGCCUUCACACUCGGACUGGCAUCUACACCAUCCACAAUCUGCUCUCCUGCUCUCAGGCCUAUGAACUACACCACUGGCUUUCAGGGGAUCUCCAGCCUGCAGACAGCAGUGGGACAUCUCAGCCUCCAUAAUUACACACAAGAUUCAGAUGAGCUGGCUUAAGCUUCAGAAGUCACCUUGGACCAUGAGGUGAUCUUGAGAAUGGAAGCAAUCGUCUAGGCUACUCGUGAUGAAGAAUCUGCCGGAAGCUCUGGAGGACAGGUGCUCACUGUCUAAUGUUACACAGCUCUCCUCUCUCAACUUACUACCCCAGGAAAGGAAUUUUUUCCUGAGCGGGAGGGAGCUGAGGAAGUCUGGGCAAUCCACAACAGACCAUCUGAAAUCAUUUUCCCAGGCGGCGGAAUAAACACCUAGCCAGACGUUACAUUGUUUUUCAAAGAGGUGAGUCCUUUCUUGUUUCCUAACUGCCAUCUAAAAAAUUAUAAACAAAAAUGAAGCUGUUGAUGCAUGCAAGAAAUCCUAAGCAAGAAAUAGCUCUUCUUUUCUAAAGGAAGCAGUUGUGGAGGGUAGGUAGUGUAGGUCUGGGUGAGUUGUUAAAUAGUGGUUUUGAAAUCAAGGUCAAUUUUCUUUGGUAAUAAGGUAUAUGUAAAUCAGAAUUUCUGAGAUUACUACAAAAGAAAAAGAAGGUGGUUAAAGGA